GAGGUAUUAGUAAAAUAUUAUAUAACUUUGUCGAAGUUAAGUUACAGGCAAGAGCCUGUAUAUCUCA
rnacentral:tRNA from 1 species